rnacentral:snRNA from 3 species
AUAUGAACAACGCAAAAAUCACAUUCAGAUUUCCAUGCAAACUUGAUGCGAGGUUCGCUCUGCUGAGCCCACGACCAUUGAACUCUGGGAAUACAGAAUGGAGAGGAAACCGAACAAUCUUGGGUGCGGUGCUUUACCUGCCUUUUGGCACAUGGGAAGGAUCGCAAUGAUUGAACGUACAU